rnacentral:rRNA from 1 species
UGUCUUUUUGAUAAUAAUUUAAAGUCUAAUCUGCCCAUUGAGGAAUUAAAAGGCCGCAGUAUUUUGACUGUGCAAAGGUAGCAUAAUAAUUAGUUUCUUAAUUAGAAGCUGGUAUGAAUGAUUGGAUGAGAAAAUAACUGUCUCAAAUAAAAUUUUUUAGAAUUUUAUAUUUAAGUAAAAAAGCUUAAAUAUUAUUAAAAGACGAGAAGACCCUAUAGAGUUUAAUAAUUUUGUUUAGAAUUAAAAUUUAGAUUUAAUAUUUUUUCUUUAAUAAAAUUAUUUUGUUGGGGUGACAAGAAAAUUAAAUUAACUUUUCUUUAUUUAUAUACAAAUAAGUAAGUUUAUGAUCCAAUAUUAUUGAUUAAAAGAUUAAAUUACCUUAGGGAUAACAGCGUAAUUUUAUUUAAGAGUUCUUAUCGADAAAUAAAGAUUGCGACCUCGAUGUUGGAUUAAAGUUAAAUUUUGGUGUAGAAGCUAAAAUUUUAGGUCUGUUCGACCUUUAAAUCUUU